rnacentral:rRNA from 1 species
UACGUAGGGUGCAAGCGUUGUCCGGAAUUAUUGGGCGUAAAGAGCUCGUAGGCGGCCUGUCGCGUCUGCUGUGAAAAUCCGGGGCUCAACCCCGGACUUGCAGUGGGUACGGGCAGACUAGAGUGUGGUAGGGGAGACUGGAAUUCCUGGUGUAGCGGUGGAAUGCGCAGAUAUCAGGAGGAACACCGAUGGCGAAGGCAGGUCUCUGGGCCACUACUGACGCUGAGAAGCGAAAGCGUGGGGAGCGAACAGG